UUCUUACUUAUACAUGAAGACCAUGUUGGCAGGCACAUCUGAGAUUAUUGAUGAAGGCCAACUAAGAA